rnacentral:rRNA from 1 species
CCUACGGGUGGCAGCAGUGGGGAAUAUUGGUCAAUGGGCGCAAGCCUGACCCAGCAACGCCGCGUGAGGGAAGAAGGCUUUCGGGUUGUAAACUUCUUUUCUGAGGGGCGAAGGAAGUGACGGUACCUCAGGAAUAAGCCACUGCUAACUACGUGCCAGGAGCCGCUGUAAUACGGAGGUGGCAAGGGUUAUCCGGAUUUAUUGGGUGUAAAGGGCGUGUGGGCGGGAAAGCAAGUCAGAUGUGAAAACUCAGGGCUCAACCCUGAGCCUGCAUUUGAAACUGUUUUCCUUGAGUGCUGGAGAGGCAAUCGGAAUUCCGGGUGUAGCGGUGAAAUGCGUAGAUAUACGGAGGAACACCAGUGGCGAAGGCGGACUGCUGGACAGUAACUGACGCUGAGGCGCGAAAGCGUGGGGAGCAAACAGGAUUAGAUACCCUUGUAGUC